rnacentral:rRNA from 1 species
AUUGAACGCUGGCGGCAGGCCUAACACAUGCAAGUCGAGCGGAUGACGGGAGCUUGCUCCUUGAUUCAGCGGCGGACGGGUGAGUAAUGCCUAGGAAUCUGCCUGGUAGUGGGGGACAACGUUUCGAAAGGAACGCUAAUACCGCAUACGUCCUACGGGAGAAAGCAGGGGACCUUCGGGCCUUGCGCUAGCAGAUGAGCCCAGGUAGGAUUAGCUAGUUGGUGGGGUAAUGGCUCACCAAGGCGACGAUCCGUAACUGGGCUGGGAGGAUGAUCAGUCACACUGGAACUGAGACACGGUCCAGACUCCUACGGGAGGCAGCAGUGGGGAAUAUUGGACAAUGGGCGAAAGCCUGAUCCAGCCAUGCCGCGUGUGUGAAGAAGGUCUUCGGAUUGUAAAGCUCUUUCGACAGGAAAGAAGCCGUCACGUAUAAAUAAUGCGUGGGGGUGACGGUACCUGAAGAAGAAGUACCGGCUAACUCCGUGCCAGCAGCCGCCGUAACAC